GCCUCUGUAGUUCAGUGGCAGAGCACUGGUCUUGUAAACCAAGGGUCGUGAGUACAAUCCUCACAGGAGGCA
rnacentral:tRNA from 1 species